rnacentral:tRNA from 1 species
UGUCCAAUGCGGGAAUCGAACCCGGGUCGUAGUGGUCGAAAACCAAAUGGUUUAACCAGCCUUCCACCAGCCAGCC